rnacentral:rRNA from 1 species
AUUACGGCUCAGUAACACGUGGAUAAUCUGCCCUAAGGUCAGGUAUAACUCCGGGAAACUGGUGAUAAUCCCUGAUAUGUCAUAGAAACUGGAAUGUUCUGUGAUUAAAAGCUCCGGCGCCUUAGGAUGAAUCUGCGGUCUAUCAGGUUGUAGUGGGUGUAGAGUACCUACUAGCCUACGACGGAUACGGGUUGUGAGAGCAAGAGCCCGGAGAUGGAUUCUGAGACAUGAAUCCAGGCCCUACGGGGCGCAGCAGGCGCGAAAACUUUACAAUGCGGGAAACCGCGAUAAGGGGAUACUGAGUGCCAGCAUAUUAUGUUGGCUGUCCACCUGUAUAAACAGCAGGUGUUAGCAAGGGCCGGGCAAGACCGGUGCCAGCCGCCGCGGUAACACCGGCGGCCCGAGUGGUGGCCACUAUUAUUGGGUCUAAAGGGUCCGUAGCCGGUUUGAUCAGUCUUCCGGGAAAUCUGACAGCUCAACUGUUAGGCUUCUGGGGGAUACUGUCAGGCUUGGGACCGGGAGAGGUAAGAGGUACUACAGGGGUAGGAGUGAAAUCUUGUAAUCCUUGUGGGACCACCAGUGGCGAAGGCGUCUUACCAGAACGGGUCCGACGGUGAGGGACGAAAGCUGGGGGCACGAACCGGAUUAGAUACCCGGGUAGUCCCAGCCGUAAACGAUGCUCGCUAGGUGUCUGGGACGGUGCGACCGUUUCAGGUGCCGCAGGGAAGCCGUGAAGCGAGCCACCUGGGAAGUACGGCCGCAAGGCUGAAACUUAAA